GACAGAGGGUGCAAACGUUGCUCGGAAUUACUGGGCGUAAAGGGCGUGUAGGCGGGAAGGCAAGUCGGGCGUGAAAGCCCCAGGCUCAACCUGGGAACUGCACUCGAAACUGCCUUUCUUGAGUGCCGGAGAGGAAAGCGGAAUUCCUGGUGUAGAGGUGAAAUUCGUAGAUAUCAGGAGGAACACCGGUGGCGAAGGCGGAUCUCUGGGCCGAUACUGACGCUGAGGAGCGAAAGCGUGGGGAGCGAACAGG
rnacentral:rRNA from 1 species